AUUGAACGCUGGCGGCAGGCUUAACACAUGCAAGUCGAGCGAGCGGCGGACGGGUGAGUAAUGUCUGGGAAACUGCCUGAUGGAGGGGGAUAACUACUGGAAACGGUAGCUAAUACCGCAUACCAUCAGAUGUGCCCAGAUGGGAUUAGCUAGUAGGUGGGGUAAUGGCUCACCUAGGCGACGAUCCCUAGCUGGUCUGGGAGGAUGACCAGCCACACGGGAACUGAGACCAGGUCCAGAAUCCGACGAGAGGCAGCAGUGGGGUAUGUUGCACAAUGGGCGCAAGCAUGGUGAAGCCAUGCAGCGUGGGUGAAGAAGACCUUCGGGUUGGAAAGAACUUUCGGCGAUGAGGCGGUACUCGCAGAAGAAGCACCGGCUAACUCCGUGCCAGCAGCCGCGGUAAUAC
rnacentral:rRNA from 1 species